GUGCGCCAAGCGGGAGGCCUGGCCGCGUAGCUCGGUUUCCCCCUUACUUUUGGCAGAUUCUUCGCCUGCUGUAGAUUGAAGAAAAUAGGAAUAAGCAUCUUUCGACCACAAACAGAUGUGCUUGAUAAAGAAAAUGUCAGCAAAAAUACUAAAGCAAUGUGUCACAGCGGCUUUCUGACAGAUAGCAGGAAAAGUUAUGAUGCAUUCCACUGUGCACACCUGCCCCAAAUGGUGGAAGAUACAGGGAACAUCCAUGAGGCUGCAGGCCCUCCCCUUCAGGGUGUCCCCUAACUCUGCAGCUGUGAAGAGACACUUAAACAGCCCCGUGACAGCAGAAGGGAGCCCAGGCUGUUCAUUUUCUGUGGAGCCUACAGCGAAGAUGGCCUCCCGCCACCAUGCAUGAAGCAGAAAGAGCAUUUAUGAGCCCGCUCGCGUGAAGCUUGAGUAGGCAGAUUCAUGAAAUUC